rnacentral:rRNA from 1 species
GCAUAUCAAUAAGCGGAGGAAAAGAAACUAACAAGGAUUCCCUUAGUAGAGGCGAUCGAACAGGGAUUAGCCCAGAACUGAAUCCUGCAACGCAAGUUGUUAGGAAAUGUAGUUUUUGGUUCAGUGCUUACGGCUUAUUGGAGUUGUUCGAAGUCCACGUGAUUGUGGCUUCAAGCCCAGAGAGGGUGUAAGGCCCGUACGAACAAUACAGUAUGUCCUGGCGCUGUUCCUAGAGUAGAGUUGUUUGGGAAUGCAGCUCGAAUCGGGUGGUAAACUCCAUCCAAGGCUAAAUACAACACGAGUCCGAUAGCGAACAAGUACCAUGAGGGAAAGUUGAAAAGAACUUUGAAGAGAGAGUUCAACAGUGCGUGAAACCGCUCAAAGGGAAACGGGCAGAGCUGAAGGAGAAUUUGUGCAUUUGUAUUUCAGCGUGGCUUCAUGCUUGAUGCGGAGAUGGCUUACCACUCGGUCAUGUAUGUGUGCUGCAAUGUUGUGCUAUUGUGCAUUUUCGACACCACGAUGGGUAUGUAAUUUGGCCUGUCAUGUGAGGGAAGGUAGCUUCGGACUUGUCCGAAGUGUUAUAGCCUUUAUGUGCAGCGCCAGAUGAAUACCGGUUUGCGAUGCUUGCUAUUGUGUCCCACAUGAUGUGAUAUGGUGAAAAGGGGUUGGGUUAACUCAUUUAGAGAUGGCCUGGCUCUCCGAUUGUCAUGUUAUGUCCUCUGUGGGUUGCAUCAAUAAUCUGUGGUGGAAUUGUAGGUUUUCUGCCUGACCCGUCUUGAAACACGGACCAAGGAGUGUAGCACAUGCGCGAGUCAUUGGGUCAUACGAAACCUAAAGGCGAAUUGAAAGAAAAGAUCUGAUUCAUUCAGGUUUAGGUAUGAUCUCGGUUUUCAAUGUGCGGCAACGUACAUGGACUGAGCGCAAUACCAUCUCAUGCCAUGCUUUAUAAAGUGGUGUGACGAAAGAGCGCAUGUGCUGCGACCCGAAAGAUGGUGAACUAUGCUUGUGUAGGUCGAAGCCAGAGGAAACUCUGGUGGAAGACCGUAGCGAUUCUGACGUGCAAAUCGAUCGUCAAACAUGAGUAUAGGGGCGAAAGACUAAUCGAACCAUCUAGUAGCUGGUUCCGCCCGAAGUUUCCCUCAGGAUAGCUGGCGCUCGAGAAUCAAACAGUUUUAUCCGGUAAAGCGAAUGAUUAGCAGUAUUGGGGAUGACAUAUCCUCAACUGAUUCUCAAACUUUAAAUGGGUGAGAUGCUCAACUCUCUUGAAUAUGGAGUUGGGCUUGUUAGAAUGUGAGUGCCUUGUGGGCCAUUUUUGGUAAGCAGAACUGGCGCUGUGGGAUGAACCAAACGUAUGGAUAAGGUGCCAAACAUAACGCUCAUCAGAAACCACAAAAGGUGUUGGUUGAUUUUGACAGCAGGACGGUGGCCAUGGAAGUCGGAAUCCGCUAAGGAGUGUGUAACAACUCACCUGCCGAAUCAACCAGCCCUGAAAAUGGAUGGCGCUGGAGCGUUGGACCUAUACCAUACCGUUACAGUGAAAUGCAAAGUAUGCUGUAACGAGUAGGGCGGCGCCGUGAUGAGCUUGGAAGCCUAGGCCGUGAGGCUGGGUGGAGCCGUCACGGGUGCAGAUCUUGGUGGUAGUAGCAAAUAUUCAAGUGAGAACCUUGAA